AGAGUUUGAUCCUGGCUCAGAACGAACGGUGGCGGUGUGCCUACUACAUGCAAGUCGAGCGGGCCUUGGGGCAACCUGAGGUUUAGCGGCGAACGGGUGAGUAAAGUGUAGAUAACCUACCUUCGAGCGGGGGAUAACGCACCGAAAGGUGUGCUAAUACCGCAUAAAGUUGUCAAUCUACCUGGAAAGAGAAUGAAAGUGGGGGCUCUGUUUCGGCAGACCUCACACUCGGAGAGGGGUCUACAUCCUAUUAGCUAGUUGGUGGGGUAAAAGCCUACCAAAGCGAUGAUGGGUAGCCGGCCUGAGAGGGUGUUCGGCCACAUGGGCACUGAGACACGGGCCCGACUCCUACGGGAGGCAGCAGUAGGGAAUCUUGGGCAAUGGGCGAAAGCCUGACCCAGCGACACCGCGUGGAUGAUGAAGGCCUUCGGGUUGUAAAGUCCUAACACAUAUUAAGAAAGGCAUAUGGAUAAUACCUGUAUGUUUUGACGAAGGUAUGAAAUGAAGUCAUGGCUAACUCCGUGCCAGCAGCCGCGGUAAUACGGAGAUGACAACCGUUGUUCGGAAUUACUGGGCUUAAAGAGCACGUAGGCGGGAUAUUAAGUUGGUUGUGAAAGACCGGGGCUCACCCCUGGGAAGUCAACCAAGACUGGUAUUCUUGAGGCCGGUAGGGGAGAGUGGAAUUCCUGGUGGAGCGGUGAAAUGCGUUGAUAUCAGGAGGAACGUCGGAGGCGUAGGCGACUCUCUGGGCUGUGCCUGACGCUGAGGUGCGAAAGCUAGGGGAGCGAACGGGAUUAGAUACCCCGGUAGUCCUAGCCGUAAACGAUGGGCACUAAGUAGAGGGGUUACAACCUCUCUGCCGGAGCAAAAGUGUUAAGUGCCCCGCCUGGGGAGUAUGGUCGCAAGGCUGAAACUCAAAGGAAUUGACGGGGGCUCGCACAAGCGGUGGAGCAUGUGGUUUAGUUCGAAUCAACGCGAAGAACCUUACCUGGGCUUGACGUUCUGGGAUUAGUCCUACGAAAGUGGGAUAACACUCCCUUGGGAGUGGAACCAGAACAGGUGUUGCAUGGCUGUCGUCAGCUCGUGCCGUGAGGUGUUGGGUUAAGUCCCAUAACGAGCGAAACCUUUGUCCUUAGUUGCCAGCGGUUAGCCCGGGGACUCUAAGGAGACUGCAGACGUUAAGUCUGAGGAAGGUGGAGACGACGUCAAGUCAUCAUGGCCCUUAUGCCCAGGGCUACACACGUGCUACAAUGGUCGGUACAAAGGGAAGCGAGGCCGUGAGGUGGAGCAAAUCCCAAAAAGCCGAUCUCAGUUCGGAUUGAGGGCUGCAAUUUGCCCUCAUGAAGCCGGAAUCGCUAGUAAUCGUGGGUCAGCAAUACCACGGUGAAUGUGUUCCCGAGCCUUGUACACACCGCCCGUCAAGCCACCGAAGCAGGGGCGGCCUGAAGUCACUGACCCAACCCUUUCGGGGGAGGGAGGUGCCCAAGGAAGCUUCUGUGACGGGGACUAAGUCGAAACAAGGUA
rnacentral:rRNA from 1 species